UGUAUAAUGGGUCAGCGACUUAUAUUCUGUAGCAAGGUUAACCGAAUAGGGGAGCCGAAGGGAAACCGAGUCUUAACUGGGCGUUAAGUUGCAGGGUAUAGACCCGAAACCCGGUGAUCUAGCCAUGGGCAGGUUGAAGGUUGGGUAACACUAACUGGAGGACCGAACCGACUAAUGUUGAAAAAUUAGCGGAUGACUUGUGGCUGGGGGUGAAAGGCCAAUCAAACCGGGAGAUAGCUGGUUCUCCCCGAAAGCUAUUUAGGUAGCGCCUCGUGAAUUCAUCUCCGGGGGUAGAGCACUGUUUCGGCAAGGGGGUCAUCCCGACUUACCAACCCGAUGCAAACUGCGAAUACCGGAGAAUGUUAUCACGGGAGACACACGGCGGGUGCUAACGUCCGUCGUGAAGAGGGAAACAACCCAGACCGCCAGCUAAGGUCCCAAAGUCAUGGUUAAGUGGGAAACGAUGUGGGAAGGCCCAGACAGCCAGGAUGUUGGCUUAGAAGCAGCCAUCAUUUAAAGAAAGCGUAAUAGCUCACUGGUCGAGUCGGCCUGCGCGGAAGAUGUAACGGGGCUAAACCAUGCACCGAAGCUGCGGCAGCGACGCUUAUGCGUUGUUGGGUAGGGGAGCGUUCUGUAAGCCUGUGAAGGUGUGCUGUGAGGCAUGCUGGAGGUAUCAGAAGUGCGAAUGCUGACAUAAGUAACGAUAAAGCGGGUGAAAAGCCCGCUCGCCGGAAGACCAAGGGUUCCUGUCCAACGUUAAUCGGGGCAGGGUGAGUCGACCCCUAAGGCGAGGCCGAAAGGCGUAGUCGAUGGGAAACAGGUUAAUAUUCCUGUACUUGGUGUUACUGCGAAGGGGGGACGGAGAAGGCUAUGUUGGCCGGGCGACGGUUGUCCCGGUUUAAGCGUGUAGGCUGGUUUUCCAGGCAAAUCCGGAAAACCAAGGCUGAGGCGUGAUGACGAGGCACUACGGUGCUGAAGCGACAAAUGCCCUGCUUCCAGGAAAAGCCUCUAAGCAUCAGGUAACAUCAAAUCGUACCCCAAACCGACACAGGUGGUCAGGUAGAGAAUACCAAGGCGCUUGAGAGAACUCGGGUGAAGGAACUAGGCAAAAUGGUGCCGUAACUUCGGGAGAAGGCACGCUGAUAUGUAGGUGAAGCGACUUGCUCGUGGAGCUGAAAUCAGUCGAAGAUACCAGCUGGCUGCAACUGUUUAUUAAAAACACAGCACUGUGCAAACACGAAAGUGGACGUAUACGGUGUGACGCCUGCCCGGUGCCGGAAGGUUAAUUGAUGGGGUUAGCGGCAACGCGAAGCUCUUGAUCGAAGCCCCGGUAAACGGCGGCCGUAACUAUAACGGUCCUAAGGUAGCGAAAUUCCUUGUCGGGUAAGUUCCGACCUGCACGAAUGGCGUAAUGAUGGCCAGGCUGUCUCCACCCGAGACUCAGUGAAAUUGAACUCGCUGUGAAGAUGCAGUGUACCCGCGGCAAGACGGAAAGACCCCGUGAACCUUUACUAUAGCUUGACACUGAACAUUGAGCCUUGAUGUGUAGGAUAGGUGGGAGGCUUUGAAGUGUGGACGCCAGUCUGCAUGGAGCCGACCUUGAAAUACCACCCUU
rnacentral:rRNA from 1 species